GUGGAUGAGGAGAGGGUAGGUAGCUGAGUUAUGAUGAACUAAUCGGCCCCCGACA
rnacentral:snoRNA from 1 species